CAGGACCCUGAUCCAUCAAUAUGACUACACAUUUGAUUGGACAAAGUUAAAGCAGAAAGCAGCACAGCAGGCAGCCUCUUCUAGUGGGAGGGGCAGCAGGCCCAAACCCCAACAGGGUAUUUAGAGAAAUUCAAUCAGAGACGAUGGAACUAAAGCUGGCCCUUCUGUGCAUACCUGUUUCCUAAAGAAAUGUUUACUCCUGGAUUGGGUCAGCCCCUCUGCAUUUACCUAUAAGAAUCUACAUACAAGCUUGUCUAUCCAUCCUGCAUAGAGCACAAGUCACAGAAGAAAAGCUCCUCUCCAUAAAUUGCUUAACAUAGUAAUCAAUAUCUCUUCACAUUUUC
rnacentral:lncRNA from 1 species